CAGCCGCCGCGGGAAUACGUAGGGCGCAAGCGUUAUCCGGAAUUAUUGGGCGUAAAGAGCUCGUAGGCGGUUUGUCGCGUCUGCCGUGAAAGUCCGGGGCUCAACCCCGGAUCUGCGGUGGGUACGGGCAGACUAGAGUGAUGUAGGGGAGACUGGAAUUCCUGGUGUAGCGAUGAAAUGCGCAGAUAUCAGGAGGAACACCGAUGGCGAAGGCAGGUCUCUGGGCAUUAACUGACGCUGAGGAGCGAAAGCAUGGGGAGCGAACAGGAUUAGAUACCCGAGUAGUCCCUGUCUCUUAUAC
rnacentral:rRNA from 1 species